rnacentral:rRNA from 1 species
UACGUAGGUGGCAAGCGUUAUCCGGAUUUACUGGGUGUAAAGGGCGUGUAGGCGGGAUGGUAAGUCAGCGGUGAAAUGCCCCCGCUCAACGGGGUGAAGUGCCAUUGAUACUGCCUUGCUGGAAUGCGGAUGCCGUGGGAGGAAUGUGUGGUGUAGCGGUGAAAUGCAUAGAUAUCACACAGAACACCGAUUGCGAAGGCAUCUCACGAAUCCGCUAUUGACGCUGAUGCACGAAAGCGUGGGUAUCGAACAGG